rnacentral:rRNA from 1 species
GAUGAACGCUGGCGGCGUGCCUAAUACAUGCAAGUCGAGCGAACAGAUAAGGAGCUUGCUCCUUUGACGUUAGCGGCGGACGGGUGAGUAACACGUGGGUAACCUACCUAUAAGACUGGAAUAACUCCGGGAAACCGGGGCUAAUGCCGGAUAACAUUUAGAACCGCAUGGUUCUAAAGUGAAAGAUGGUUUUGCUAUCACUUAUAGAUGGACCCGCGCCGUAUUAGCUAGUUGGUAAGGUAACGGCUUACCAAGGCAACGAUACGUAGCCGACCUGAGAGGGUGAUCGGCCACACUGUAACUGAGACACGGUCCAGACUCCUACGGGAGGCAGCAGUAGGGAAUCUUCCGCAAUGGGCGAAAGCCUGACGGAGCAACGCCGCGUGAGUGAUGAAGGUCUUCGGAUCGUAAAACUCUGUUAUUAGGGAAGAACAAAUGUGUAAGUAACUGUGCACGUCUUGACGGUACCUAAUCAGAAAGCCACGGCUAACUACGUG